rnacentral:misc_RNA from 1 species
GAAAUGCGAAACGUAAUGCGAUUUGCACGAAUCUGUGAGUCAUCAAGUCUUUGAACGCACCUUGCACCAUAUGAGCAAUUGUAUGGUAUACCUGUUUGAGAAUCGUAAAAACCUCUCACACUCCUCGUGUGUGUGGAAGUGUCCUUGAGCGUGUCAUGCGCUCUUGGAUCAAAUGUAGUAGGUCUAGUCAGGCUGGUGGCCUGGGACAUUGUGUGCUAGAGACGUCGCCUUGGCGAACAGUCUUCUCACGAUGCGUCCUGGGCUACUCCAAAGCUGGUCUGACGGCGGCCUCUGCAGUGAUCGUCUUUGGGCGGUCACAACCCCCCCUUUUUGAUCUCAAAUCAGGUAAGGCUACCCGCUGAACUUAA